CAUGACUUCAUUUGAAUCGGAUUACCUCUGUAAAAACCCUGUCUCUGAAUAGGGUCCCAUUCUGAGGUCCUGCGACUUAGGAUCAAGCCAGCGUAUCUUUUCUGGGGAGACACAAUUCAACCCAUAACAUCACAACUCAUGAACAUGAUGAAGUGUGCUCACCUGAGCAUCCUUCCUCUGUGGAGAACAGAGCUUCUGUUCAAGGACCAGACUUCACUGUGACGGACGACUCCCAUUUCCCACCACUUCCGAGAGAAGGGAGAAGGCUGACCUGUUUCGUUCCUGGGAUGAACUGUGGUGUGCUUAACAUGGAGAGGGAGGCCCUGGACCAUGUGGUGACCCAGACGAGAGGGAGGUAGAUGGUCGUCCCCUGAUUGCGGUGCUUUGCCGGUGCGUGAUUCAGGUACACGACAUCACUAUCUGGGGACAGAAAGUCUUAGUGGUGAAACCCUGUUCAAAAUGAUGCUGUAACCACAAGACAGAAAACACCAACAGAUAAUAGAAGCGUGACUCUGAAAUUCCUCUCAUUUUGGAACUAAAAGCGGAAAGAAAAGCCAGACCUCUGGUGCCAGCUGGCGAAAGAGAAGAUUAAAGGAUGUGUCUCUGAUGACUCAGGAGCUGAGAUCUAUUUCUUCAUUUAAUUUAUUCUGUGUUUUUUGAAGUUGACAAUGAGAUAGAAAAACCUUGAGA
rnacentral:lncRNA from 1 species